AAAGGUAGCAUAAUCAUUAGGGAUUUAAUUGGGACCUGGUAUGAAGGGUUGGACAAAGGAGGAACUGUCUUUAUAAUACUAGUUGAAAUUUACCUUUAAGUGAAAAGGCUUAAAUGUUUCAGGGGGACGAUAAGACCCUAUAAAGCUUUAUAAAUAAUUUAAUUUUGAUCAAUUUAGACAUAAGGAUCAAAUUUAAUUAUUUUAUUUUAUUGGGGUGAUAUGAGCGUAAUUUAAAUUAACUGCUUAUAAGUUUAUACUGAUAUAAAAGAGUUGAAUUUAUAAAUGAUCCUUUGUAAAGAUUAAAAGAUUAAGUUACUUUAGGGAUAACAGCGUUAUUUCUUUUGAGAGUUCAUAUCGAAAAAGAAGAUUGCGACCUCGAUGUUGAAUUAAAAUAUCUAUAUAGUGCAGCAGCUAUAANAGAAAGUCUGUUCGACUUUUAAAUU
rnacentral:rRNA from 1 species